CUUUUCUCUCUAAUUUCUCUAAUUGGAAAAUGGCUGCAACUUUCAAGAAUACUCCAUUAUUAUUAUUUCUCUUAGUUCUUUUGAUCAUCACAUUUCUCUUCACGUUUCCAUGCACUGCUCAACCUGGAAGAGAUAGUGCAGUCCCUAUGAGUAGUCUUAGAUGCCCCUGGAGCAGCCCACCAGGAGGUAGUGAAACUCCAGAUCGUCCACCAGGAGGAGGACCAGGAGCUCCAGGUUGCAGAAGAACUUGAGCGCCGCCACAAUUGUAGCACACAGCCAGAA